rnacentral:RNase_P_RNA from 1 species
GAGGAAAGUCCGGGCUUAUGUCAAGAUUUCAAAGAUACUUAGGAAAACUAAGUAUAAUCAUUUAUUAGGCAAGUGCCACAGAAAAAAACCUCUAAAUAAGCUUUAUUUUAGUAAGGGUGCAAAAAUAUAUUGAAAAAUAUUAAUAAUAAGUUGUAAAUAUAUUAUUAGGUAAACCCUAUCUAUGAGCAAAUCAUUUAUUCUUUAGAAAUAGUGCUAUGUAAUGUUUUAUAAUAACAGAAGACAAAUAACCACUUCUUUAAUUAUGUUUUAAAGAAACAAAACCCGGCUUAC